rnacentral:rRNA from 1 species
CGGCAACAGCUCAAAUUUGAAAUCUGGCCUCUUCGGGGUCCGAGUUGUAAUUUGGAGAGGAUGUUUCGGGCACGGUCCGGGCUUAUAUUUCUUGGAACAGAAUGUCAUAGAGGGUGAGAAUCCCGUCUGGAGCUCGGACACGACCUAUGUGAAACUCCUUCGACGAGUCGAGUUGUUUGGGAAUGCAGCUCUAAAUGGGUGGUAAAUUUCAUCUAAAGCUAAAUAUUGGCCAGAGACCGAUAGCGCACAAGUAGAGUGAUCGAAAGAUGAAAAGCACUUUGAAAAGAGAGUUAAAAAGUACGUGAAAUUGUUGAAAGGGAAGCGCUGGCGACCAGACUUGCGCGUCGGGGUUCCCCCUUGCUUCUGCUUGGGUUACUCCCCGGCGUUCAGGCCAACAUCGGUUUCGGGGGUUGGUUAAAGGCCUUGGGAAUGUACCUACCCUCCGGGGUAGACUUAUAGCCCAGGGUGUCAUGCGACCUCCCGGGACCGAGGAACGCGCUUCGGCUCGGAUGUUGGCGUAAUGGUUGUCAGCGACCCGUCUUGAAACACGGACCAAGGAGUCUAACAUCUAUGCGAGUGUUAGGGUGUCAAACCCUUACGCGGAAUGAAAGUGAACGGAGGUAGGAAGCCUUAAGGCUGCACUAUCGACCGAUCCUGAAGUUUACGGACGGAUUUGAGUAAUAGCAUAGCUGUUGGGACCCGAAAGAUGGUGAACUAUGCCUGAAUAGGGUGAAGCCAGAGGAAACUCUGGUGGAGGCUCGCA